UCUCCUGUAUCUAAAAAUGUAAUGUCAUUUACAAGAUAUUGAAGAAAUUUGCUAAUAGCAAAAAGUUUUCUGAUGUUUUGUUAAAAUGUACUUUCUGUUCUUUGCUGUAUUAAUUUUAAUGGACAGAACAGCUGGGUGUAUAAGCACUAUGACUCUCGUCCAUCGAUUCCUAGGGCCUUAACACAGAACCUUACAUGUAUCAGGCUAACAUCUACUAUUUUUUAAAUUAAUGACUCCGUGGAAGGAUAAGUGAAGGGGUAAAUGUGUUUGUUCUUUAGUUUAUUAAUUGUUUCACAUUUUAAUGAUUAUAAUAUACCUAGUACUAUGUUGGGUCUGCAUAUUUACAGGGACUAAGAACUUUUUGUUGAAUCCAUAUAUUCCAAGUUUCUGCCUUAAGUAAUUCCUGCAGAAGUUCUAGUGGGUUAAGACACAUAUGUUGGAAUCACUCAGUAUCUUUUAAUUGUAGGAUAUAACUACUAGCAUUUUUUAAAAGAUUUUAUUUAUUUAUCCAUGAGUGACACAGAGAGAGGCAGAGAUGCAGUCAGAGGGAGAAGCAGGCCCCAUGCAGGGAGCCCGAUGUGGGACUCGAUCCUAGGAUCCUGGGGUCACGCCCUGAGCCGAAGGCAGAUGCUCAACCACUGAGUCACCCAGGCACCCCUCCUAGUGGGUUUUGAGGAAAUGUCCUGGAUAUUUGCUAAAGGCAUAUCUUAAGGUUUCAAUUAAAUCAAAUCAAUAAAGAUACAGAGGUAGAGGGAACUGGCUAUUUGCUAUGGACAAAUAACUCAUUUGAAAAGUAGCUAUAAGCCCCAAACCGGAGCAGAACUUUUGUAUCAUUCUAACCAUCUCCCAGAGUGCUCAUCGAAAGGAAACAGAGGCUUACAAGGACUGACAUUGAGAAGAUUAAGUAGGGGCUCCUGGGUGGCUCAGCGGUUGAGUGCCUGCCUUCAGCCCAGGGCGUGAUCCUGGGGUCCCGGGAUCGAGUCCCACGUCCGGCUCCCUGCAGGGCGCCCGCUUCUCC